CGGCGCCCCGGUCCCCGUCCAGGCGCGCCUCCGCCGCCGUCAGGCCGUCGCUGGACGAUUGGCGACCACCGUUCAGCUCGUCUCUCUCUCCUCUACCUCCUCCUAACUGUCGAUUGACAUGCAUCCACCACCUUCUUAAGAUCGAAAAUCCAAACCCUAACCUCCAAAUUCAAAUUCCGGCCAAAUCCCUUCUCCCCCGGCUAGUUUAAGCUUCUAGAAGGUUUGGUUUCCGGCAAGGGGUUGCGUUCUUGGGGUUUCGGUGAAUCUGUCGAACUCAGGCGAGCCUAGCAACGUUCGAUGGGUGCCCAUAUGCACCUUGAAGGAGGCUUGGAGGCAGCUGUUACUGUUUCGGAGGGAGGCAGUGGCUUUGGGUGAUUGGCCGAGUGUCUUUAAUCUUGACUUUGUUCUCAGCGACUCUCCGAUUUGGUUUUAGCUCUAGAUUCACGUUUUGAAUAGAUUGGAGGUCGCAAUAGACCUUUUAGAGCAAAUUGAAGUUGUAGAAUAAUUGCACAGGCCACUUUUGCUAGCAAUAGGCUGCCUUGCAUUGCAUAUAAGGGCAGCCUUCUCACUAAUAUUAUGAGAGCAAGAUGCAAUUAUGUUUCUGCAAAGCUUGCUGAAAAACAGUCCAGAACCGAUGGCUAUAUUCAAGAUCAACUUUGAGGAGAAAAAGGCUAAUGAUGAAGAAAGAGUUGGCUGCAAGAAUCGGUUAUGAUGGUGCAUGUAUUGUGUCACUAUUGUACCUCUCUAGAGAAAAGAUAAAACAGAUUCAGAUAUCUUCCAUCAUUGGCAUUAAUCACAAAAAAACAAACAAGACAGUUCCUGGAAAAUGCAAAGCAACUGCAUCUAUUGAUUCACUACCAAACGGAAAUUUACAGACAAGAAAAUGCAAAGUAACUCUCACCAACACAUGCAAAGUAACUGCAUCUAUUGAUUCACUAUGAGAGGGUAUUAUUUACAUAAUUGAGUGAUGCACAUUAAGCAUAAGAAAAGAUUAAUCAUCAACAAACAAGACCACAAGUUUCCAGCCGCCUGGAGUGCAUAAGAGCAACUGCUUAUACCAAAUUGGUACUAAGAUUUUCCACUAGAAUUUCAGUACCAAACAGAAAACAUUAAACAUCAGACUCAAUGAGACUCAAUGAUCAUCAUCAAACUGUUUACUAAUCCAGUCAUGCACAUCAA